UACGUAGGGUGCGAGCGUUGUCCGGAAUUACUGGGCGUAAAGAGCUCGUAGGCGGUUUGUCGCGUCGGGAGUGAAAACAUCUGGCUUACUGGGUGCUUGCUUUCGAUACGGGCAGACUGGAGGUAUGCAGGGGAGAACGGAAUUCCUGGUGUAGCGGUGAAAUGCGCAGAUAUCAGGAGGAACACCGGUGGCGAAGGCGGUUCUCUGGGCAUUACCUGACGCUGAGGAGCGAAAGUGUGGGGAGCGAACAGG
rnacentral:rRNA from 1 species